GGAGGAUUACCCAAGUGGCUUAAGGGAACGGUUUUGAAAACCGUCAGACGGGUUUAUGCUCGUGCGUGGGUUCAAAUCCCACAUCCUCCU
rfam:Lactobacillus sp. ASF360 genomic scaffold acMPL-supercont1.8, whole genome shotgun sequence.